rnacentral:rRNA from 1 species
UGACCGUACUUGAGGAAUACCCCACCGCUGAUUCCGUGCCAACAGCCGCGGUAAUACGGGAGUGGCAAGCGUUAUCCGGAAUUAUUGGGCGUAAAGCGUCCGCAGGCGGCCCUGUAAGUCUGUCGUUAAAGCUUGGAGCUUAACUCCAUUUAAGCGAUGGAAACUACAAGGCUUGAGUGUGGUAGGGGCAGAGGCAAUUCCC